rnacentral:RNase_MRP_RNA from 1 species
CAAGCUUUCUUGGGAAAUUCCCCGGAUGUAAGGACUGAGAGAGUCAACUCGAAAGAGUUUUACCGGCGCGGAUGCCGCUUCCUCAUUGCGAAGACGGUCUUUCUUCUCCUCUUUGGAGUAGGGAGGCAAGAGCACAUAUUGGGAUAGUUCGGCUCCGUCAACCAGCCGCCAUCUGCAUUUCGGUGCAUCGAUUGAGCAAAGUUAUGCCAUCAAGAACUCAACGGGGGUCACU